rnacentral:rRNA from 1 species
UGUUCGUUAUUGAGGGCGCAUGGUGGAUGCCUUGGCAUGCUGAGCCGAUGAAGGACGUGUAAGGCUGCGUUAAGCCUCGGGGAGUUGUCAAUAAAGCGUUGAUCCGAGGAUGUCCGAAUGGGGAAACCUGGCCCUGGUUAUGUGGGGUUACCCUUCAGUGAAUUCAUAGCUGUUGUGGGGGUUACGCGGGGAAGUGAAACAUCUCAGUACCCGUAGGAGGAGAAAAUAAUAAUGAUUCUGCUAGUAGUGGCGAACGAACGUGGAUGNNNNNNNNNNGCUAAACCGUGUGCAUGUGAUACCUGGUAGGGGUUGUGUGUGCGGUGUUGUGGGGCCUGAUUUUGUGUCAUCUACCAGUGGCACGCCCUUUUUGCAUUGUUGUUAGGUGAAGUGGUUUGGAAUGAUCUGCCGGAGUAGGUGAGAGUCCUGUAGCUGAAGAUGAUGAUGUGGGGGUUGUUGGGUUCCCGAGUAGCAACGGGCUCGUGGAAUCUGUUGUGAAUCUGCCGGGACCACCCGGUAAGCCUAAAUACUCAGUGUGACCGAUAGUGGAUAGUACCGUGAGGGAAUGGUGAAAAGUACCCCGGGAGGGGAGUGAAAUAGUUCCUGAAACCAUGUGCUUACAAUCCGUCAGAGCACCUGUUUGUGUGUGAUGGCGUGCCUUUUGAAGAAUGAGCCUGCGAGUCAGCGGCAUGUCGCGAGGUUAACCCGUGUGGGGUAGCCGUAGGGAAACCGAAUCCUAAUGGGGUGAUAAGUGGCAUGUCCUGGACCCGAAGCGGGGUGAUCUACCCAUGGCCAGUGUGAAGCAGCUGUAAGAGGUUGUGGAGGCGCGAACCCACGUAGGUUGAAAACUGCGGGGAUGAGCUGUGGGUAGGGGUGAAAGGCCAAUCAAACUCCGUGAUAGCUGGUUCUCCCCGAAAUGCAUUUAGGUGCAGCGUCGCAUUUAGCUUGGUGGAGGUAGAGCGACUGGUUGGUUGAGCGGGACUACAAUCUUAGCAAUGUCAGCCAAACUCCGAAUGCCAUCAAUUGUGUUGUGCGGCAGUGAGACUGUGGGGGAUAAGCUUCAUAGUCGAGAGGGAAACAGCCCAGAUCGCCGGUUAAGGCCCCUAAGGGUGUACUAAGUGG